rnacentral:rRNA from 1 species
UACGAAGGGGGCGAGCGUUGUUCGGAAUUACUGGGCGUAAGGGGCGCGUAGGCGGCGAACCAAGUCAGAUGUGAAAGUCCUGGGCUUAACCUGGGGACUGCAUUUGAUACUGGUUUGCUUGAAUUCGGGAGAGGAUAGCGGAAUUCCCAGUGUAGAGGUGAAAUUCGUAGAUAUUGGGAAGAACACCGGUGGCGAAGGCGGCUAUCUGGACCGACAUUGACGCUGAGGCGCGAAAGCGUGGGGAGCAAACAGG